CCUCCGCUCUCCCCGCACAGGAGAGCGGAACGAGGUACCCGCGCUCUCUGCCCUGACUGCGCCGGUACCUCUCCCGGGCCGGGGGCACCGCACACCGCCGGCCCGACUGACCGCCUCCGGGCGGUCUUACUCCGGGCUGCGGUGCUGGUCGGGCUGAGGGUCCCGGCCCGGCGC
rnacentral:ncRNA from 1 species